rnacentral:lncRNA from 1 species
GAUCCUUGACAACUUCUGCCAUGCUUGUUGGUCGUCGAUUAACAUAGACAGUAAAACCUGGCUUUCCCGCCUCGAGUGCUUUACUACCACCUACUACCGUAGUUUUAUUAUGCGCAUUGACUUGUCUGAUAUUCUGAGAUUGAGACAGAUCGAUAUUUGCACUACAUUGUGGUUGAGAUCCUUUUAUAUCAUCUUUGCAUUCACCUUCAAAACAGAUUUCCUCAUCAUCGUCAUCAUCGUCUUCAUCCUCAUCUUCAUCAACAUCUUCAACAAGCACUUCUUCUUUCUGGUACUGAUUUUUUACUGGAGGGAAUUGUUGUUCUCUCCUUGGAGCUUGUUGUUCUCUCCUUGGAGCUUGUUGUUCUCUCCGCGGAGCUUGUUGUUCUC